UACGUAGGGUGCAAGCGUUGUCCGGAAUUAUUGGGCGUAAAGAGCUCGUAGGCGGUUUGUCGCGUCGGCUGUGAAAACUCGGGGCUCAACCCCGAGCCUGCAGUCGAUACGGGCAGACUAGAGUGCUGUAGGGGAGACUGGAAUUCCUGGUGUAGCGGUGAAAUGCGCAGAUAUCAGGAGGAACACCGGUGGCGAAGGCGGGUCUCUGGGCCGAUACUGACGCUGAGGAGCGAAAGCGUGGGGAGCAAACAGG
rnacentral:rRNA from 1 species